CCUGCCGGCGCAUGCCCCACCAGCCGCUAUAUAUACCACACGACGACGAAGCUGCCUCAGUUCAGUGAGAAACUUCACGUGCUCCCAUCUCAGUUGUAACUUCUGUUUCCUGCCCAACCAGCAAAUAUGUGCGACGACGAUGAUGUAGCAGCUCUUGUCGUGGACAAUGGCUCCGGAAUGUGCAAGGCCGGUUUCGCCGGUGACGACGCCCCACGUGCCGUCUUCCCCUCCAUCGUCGGAAGACCACGUCACCAGGGUGUCAUGGUUGGUUAUGGGACAGAAGGACAGCUAU